AGAACGAACGCUGGCGGCAUGCCUAACACAUGCAAGUCGAACGCCUGUAGCAAUACAGGAGUGGCGCACGGGUGAGUAACGCGUGGGAACCUGCCCUGGAGUGGGGGAUAACCGAGAGAAAUUUCGGCUAAUACCGCAUACGACCUGAGGGUGAAAGAUUUAUCGCUCUAGGAGGGGCCCGCGUCGGAUUAGCUAGUUGGUGGGGUAACGGCCUACCAAGGCAACGAUCCGUAGCUGGUCUGAGAGGAUGAUCAGCCACACUGGGACUGAGACACGGCCCAGACUCCUACGGGAGGCAGCAGUGGGAAUAUUGGACAAUGGGGGAAACCCUGAUCCAGCAAUGCCGCGUGGGUGAUGAAGGCCUUAGGGUUGUAAAGCUCUUUCGGCGGGACGAUGAUGACGGUACCGCAGAAGACGCCCGGCUAACUUCGUGCCAGCAGCCGC
rnacentral:rRNA from 1 species